ACUGACAGAGCCUUUUGUUUCUGCAGCACAGCAGCAUCUCAGCAGAGAUUAAUGCUUGAGAGAUGAGUGGAAACCCUCUGCAAACUGCUGCCACAACAAGGUACCUGCCAACGUGAAAGCCUUCUCCUCUGAAACUGGCUCCUUCAGAUACACCUUGGAUGCUGUGCAAAUUCCUAAGAAAGGGACAAUUUCAAUCUGAAGUACUGUGCUGAAGUACCAAUGCAGCCCCACUAAUAUCCACUGGAAUCUGAGUAGCCUAUGUACAGCACAAGAGAGA